UACGUAGGGUGCAAGCGUUGUCCGGAAUUAUUGGGCGUAAAGAGCUCGUAGGCGGUUUGUUGCGUCGGCUGUGAAAUCCCGAGGCUCAACCUCGGGUCUGCAGUCGAUACGAGCAAAACUAGAGUGUUGCAGGGGGAGACUGGAAUUCCUGGUGUAGCGGUGAAAUGCGCAGAUAUCAGGAGGAACACCGGUGGCGAAGGCGGGUUCUCUGGGGACGGUACUGACGCUGGAGAACGCGAAAAGCGUGGGGGAGCAAACAGG
rnacentral:rRNA from 1 species